rnacentral:rRNA from 1 species
GAUUCUGGCUCAGGAUAACGCUGGCGGCGUGCCUAACACAUGCAAGUCGAACGAAAUAUCUUCGGAUAUUAGUGGCGAGCGGGUGAGUAAUGUACAGGUAAUGUACCUUCGUACUGCGAAUAACAAGCUGAAAAGUUUGCUAAUACGGAAUAGUUUCAUUAGGGGGCAUCCUUUGAUGAAUAAAGAUUUAUCGUGCGGAGAUCAGCCUGUAUCCUAUUAGUUAGUUGGUGGGGUAAUGGCCUACCAAGACGACGAUGGGUAACUGGUCUGAGAGGAUGAGCAGUCACAUUGGAACUGAGAUACGGUCCAAACUCCUACGGGAGGCAGCAGUGAGGAAUUUUGCGCAAUGGGGGAAGCCCUGACGCAGCAACGCCGUGUGAGUGAAGACGGCCUUCGGGUUGUAAAGCUCUGUCGUGUAUGACGAGUAGGGACGGUAAUACACAAGGAAGCCUCGGCUAACUACGUGCCAGCCGCCGC